rnacentral:rRNA from 1 species
CACGUAGGGCGCAAGCGUUGUCCGGAAUUAUUGGGCGUAAAGAGCUCGUAGGUGGUUUGUUACGUCUGCUGUGAAAACCUAGGGCUUAACCCUGGGCUUGCAGUGGAUACGGGCAGACUAGAGGUAGGUAGGGGAGAAUGGAAUUCCUGGUGUAGCGGUGAAAUGCGCAGAUAUCAGGAGGAGCACCGGUGGCGAAGGCGGGUCUCUGGGCAACAACUGACGCUGAGGAGCGAAAGCGUGGGGAGCGAACAGG